rnacentral:rRNA from 1 species
ACGAAACUUUUUUUAUCACCGAGUGCUUGCACUCACCGAUAAAGAGUUGAGUGGCGAACGGGUGAGUAACACGUGGGCAACCUGCCCAAAAGAGGGGGAUAACACUUGGAAACAGGUGCUAAUACCGCAUAACCAUAGUUACCGCAUGGUAACUAUGUAAAAGGUGGCUAUGCUACCGCUUUUGGAUGGGCCCGCGGUGCAUUAGCUAGUUGGUGGGGUAAAGGCUUACCAAGGCAAUGAUGCGUAGCCGAACUGAGAGAUUGAUCGGCCACAUUGGGACUGAGACACGGCCCAAACUCCUACGGGAGGCAGCAGUAGGGAAUCUUCCACAAUGGGCGAAAGCCUGAUGGAGCAACGCCGCGUGGGUGAAGAAGGUCUUCGGAUCGUAAAACCCUGUUGUUAUACACCCCCCCCACCUAAAANUAACUAUUCACAUUUCAACAAUAUCUAACCACAAAACCACAACUAACUACAUACCACCACCCACCAUAAUACUUAAAUAACAACCUUUAUCCUCAUUUAUUANACNUAAAAAAAACCCANNCNAUCUUUUAAUUCUUAUAUAAAAACCUUCUUCUUAACCACANUAAUACAUUCCCAACUAAUAAACUUCANUACACAACACCACACUCCAACUCCAUCUNUANCAAUAAAAUGGGGAGAUCUUUGGGAGAACACCAGUGGCGAAAGCGGCUCUCUGGUCUGUAACUGACGNUGAGGUUCGAAAGCGUGGGGGGCCCUCUGAGGAAAANACCNNNNNANUCCACACAAAAAACCACCUUGAUUGAGUUGGAGGGUUUCCGCCCUUCAGUGCUGCAGCUAACGCAAUAAGCAUUCCGCCUGGGGAGUACGACCGCAAGGUUGAAACUCAAAGGAAUUGACGGGGGCCCGCACAAGCGGUGGAGCAUGUGGUUUAAUUCGAAGCAACGCGAAGAACCUUACCAGGUCUUGACAUCUUUUGAUAAUCCUAGAGAUAGGACUUUCCCUUCGGGGACAAAAUGACAGGUGGUGCAUGGUUGUCGUCAGCUCGUGUCGUGAGAUGUUGGGUUAAGUCCCGCAACGAGCGCAACCCUUAUUGUUAGUUGCCAGCAUUAAGUUGGGCACUCUAGCAAGACUGCCGGUGACAAACCGGAGGAAGGUGGGGAUGACGUCAAAUCAUCAUGCCCCUUAUGACCUGGGCUACACACGUGCUACAAUGGACGGUACAACGAGUCGCAAGACCGCGAGGUUUACCAAAUCUCUUAAAGCCGUUCUCAGUUCGGAUUGUAGGCUGCAACUCGCCUACAUGAAGUCGGAAUCGCUAGUAAU